rnacentral:rRNA from 1 species
UACGGGGGGGGCAAGCGUUGUUCGGAAUUACUGGGCGUAAAGGGCACGUAGGCGGCCAACUAAGUCGGAUGUGAAAUCCCCGGGCUCAACCCGGGAACUGCGUCCGAUACUGGGGGGCUUGAAUCCGGGAGAGGGAUGUGGAAUUCCAGGUGUAGCGGUGAAAUGCGUAGAUAUCUGGAGGAACACCGGUGGCGAAGGCGGCAUCCUGGACCGGUAUUGACGCUGAGGCGCGAAAGCUAGGGGAGCAAACGGG